UACGGAGGGGGCUAGCGUUGUUCGGAAUUACUGGGCGUAAAGCGCACGUAGGCGGCUUUGUAAGUUAGAGGUGAAAGCCCGGGGCUCAACUCCGGAAUUGCCUUUAAGACUGCAUCGCUAGAAUUGUGGAGAGGUAAGUGGAAUUCCGAGUGUAGAGGUGAAAUUCGUAGAUAUUCGGAAGAACACCAGUGGCGAAGGCAAUCCCCUGGACCUGUACUGACGCUCAUGCACGAAAGCGUGGGGAGCAAACAGG
rnacentral:rRNA from 1 species